GUUCCUUUUGGUGAAGGGGAACUGGCUUCAGAAGUUCUUGAGGAUGCUGGCUUUUGGCUAACUGCCAGAAAUCCUCCUAUAAUCCAGACUGAGCUCAAUUCUGGAUAUUUUGACUAUCUUUUGGAGUUUGGGGAAUUGGAGUCUCCUUUGGACCUAGCGAUUUGAUGAUGAGAAAUCACCCAAGGUCAAUGAUUAACUGAACAAAUAGCCAGAUCUCAAGUCUGAUCAGGAGCCAUGGUCCUACAGGUUGGAGUGAGGUCAGAAACAAAUAUGUAUGUUUUGUUUUGUUUUUGUUUUUGAAAUUGGGGUCUCAAGUAGCCUAGACUAGCCUCAGACUCAUUAAGUAGCCAAGGGUGAUAUCAAACUGCUAAUCCUCGUGUCUCUACCUCCUGAGUUCUGGGAUUACAGGUUGGCAUCACCAAGCCCAGUUUUUGCAGUAUGGAGGAUGGAAUCCAGGGCUUUGUGUAUAUUCAUGAGCACUCUACCUGAGCCAACCUUCCUAGGCCAAAACCCGCAAGACUAUCAGUCGUCAAAAGCAUCAGAGUUCUUGAGAAGGAUAAGAUUUUACCUGAAUCAAUGAUUAAAGAAUAACAGAGACUUGCCAGCAGGCUGCAUGGACAGCCAUCCCCAAGGUGCUCCAUCCAUAGUAGUGGGCUGCAGGACACCUGCCUUCUUGCUGAUAACUUGUGACCUGUGGAUUACAGACUUUGGGAAGACUCGCCUACCGUUGGCCCAAGCAACGCCGGGAAAGUCGAUUCCGUUGUCCUCUUGUCCAUGGUCUGGAAUACUUUGUACCAGUUGAGGUGAAGGGCAGGGUUGCUCAGUGACCAGCGUUGUCACUGAGAUGAAGUUUCUUCAGUGCCCAGUCUUCUCGGAGGAAAUGGGGUGGGGCCAGCAGCUGGCCUAUCUCUCUGUUAUAAAAAGCUUUUUAACAAAACAUUUUAAAUGCCAUAUUCUCUAGAUCUCUGAGCAUUUGAGGGCUGUCUGCUUAGGAUCUUAGUAGUUAAGUUUGUCUUUAGUUAGAGAAAAAUCCCUUUUUGUAAUAAAAGCUGUACCUUUGUAAAAGGCUUACAGGAUAAACUGAGUGGUAUAAAUAUUUUGUUAAUUUGAAUAGACUUUAAAUGUUUAUCAUCA
rnacentral:lncRNA from 1 species